rnacentral:piRNA from 1 species
UGUGAAUGACAGUAAGUGGGUGAAGGCC